AACGUAGGAGGCAAGCGUUAUCCGGAUUUACUGGGCGUAAAGCGCGUGCAGGCGGUUCGGCAAGUUGGAUGUGAAAGCUCCCGGCUCAACUGGGAGAGGUCGUUCAAUACUGCCGGGCUAGAGAGCGGUAGAGGAAGGUGGAAUUCCCGGUGUAGUGGUGAAAUGCGUAGAUAUCGGGAGGAACGCCAGUGGCGAAAGCGGCCUUCUGGACCGUUUCUGACGCUCAGACGCGAAAGCUAGGGGAGCGAACGGG
rnacentral:rRNA from 1 species